UACGUAGGUGGCAAGCGUUGUCCGGAAUUAUUGGGCGUAAAGGGCGCGUAGGCGGCUUCGCUAGUCGGGCGUGAAAUGCCUGGGCUUAACCCGGGAAUUGCGUUCGAUACUUCGAGGCUAGAGUGUGGGAGAGGUUGGUGGAAUUCCCAGUGUAGAGGUGAAAUUCGUAGAUAUUGGGAAGAACACCGGUGGCGAAGGCGGCUCACUGGCUCGUAUCUGACGCUCAGGCGCGAUAGCGUGGGGAUCAAACAGG
rnacentral:rRNA from 1 species